ACCAAUACAAACAAAACAAGAGCACAUGUUAAAAGCUCUCUACUUCUUGGAAGUCUACAUAUAAUAGAGACAAGUCAUACAAAGCAAAGAAAAGAUUUUAGAAUAGUAAAGUUAGAUCAUGUGAACUCCACUUUAACAUAAGUAAGUUCAAAGAAACUUCAAGAUUGGGGAAGAAGAGAGACUCAUGAAAGGGAUUCUUUAGAUGGGAGGAAUUGCAGGACUGGAUUCUAGAGGGAAAAAUAAAAAAAACUAUAUGGUAAAAGCAACAACAUAAACUUCCAUUUUAAAACAGCCUAAAGAGAGAAGGAAAUCAUGAGAAACAUAAAUAAACAAAAAAAUUACUAAUUAGAAAUUGGAAAAAUAGGCUAAUUGAACUUUAAUCUGUAGAGAGGAAUCAAAAGACAGGGAAUUCGGUUCUAAUCAGUUUUGUGCAACAACAUAAAUUUUUACCUGGAGAAAUCUUGGAAGGUAUCCCUGUAGACUAAAGAUCAAAUUCUACAGAUAAUUCAAAAACUUUAAGAUGAACUCAUUUAAGAACAACGGUAUCACCCAUGUCAGCAAAAUUAAAUCAUCAAGGAUUACAACUACAAAGAAUCUUCAGAAAAACUUUGACAGAAAAUGAAAACCCAUUCAACUUUCCUCAACUGAUGAAGCAAAGAAUUUCUAAACGCCAAAACAAGAACUAUCUUACCAAAAUCCCCCUGUAGACUAAAGAUCAAAUUCUACAGAUAAUUCAAAAACUUUAAGAUGAACUUAAAGUUAUAAAUAGAUAAAAACCGAGAAACUUAAAAACAAAAAGAUGAAGUAGAAGGUUUAUCCCAAUAGAAUUGUUCACAAAGCAGGAUGACUCGAUGGAAAUUGUGAGGAAAACCCAUACGAGUAGAACAACAAAACAUCCAAAUUGUAGCAAAAUAUAACAAACAAAGGGUGAUCCAUAUAGUUCGAAGCAAAGAAUACUAAGUCCAAGUAGCAAACAUCACCAACAAUCAAUACAAUUAGAAACCCCCCCAAAAAAGAAGAAGAGCACAUAGGACAGAUAGAGAGAUGAGAGCAGUACU
rnacentral:lncRNA from 1 species